rnacentral:rRNA from 1 species
GAAUGGGGAGUGAUACUAGCCCUGGCGAGUCAUUGUAGCAAUACAAGGCAGACGGCUCAGUAACGCGUAGUCAACCUAACCUAUGGACGGGAAUAACCUCGGGAAACUGAGAAUAAUGCCCGAUAGAACAUUAUGCCUGGAACGGUUUAUGUUUCAAAUGAUUUAUCGCCAUAGGAUGGGACUGCGGCCUAUCAGUUUGUUGGUGAGGUAAUGGCCCACCAAGACUAUUACAGGUACGGGCUCUGAGAGGAGUAGCCCGGAGAUGGGUACUGAGACACGGACCCAGGCCCUAUGGGGCGCAGCAGGCGAGAAAACUUUGCAAUGUGCGAAAGCACGACAAGGUUAAUCCGAGUGGUUUCUGCUAAAGAAACCUUUUGCUAGUCCUAGAAACACUAGUGAAUAAGGGGUGGGCAAGUUCUGGUGUCAGCCGCCGCGGUAAAACCAGCACCUCAAGUGGUCAGGAUGAUUAUUGGGCCUAAAGCAUCCGUAGCUCGUUUUGUAAGUUUUCGGUUAAAUCCAUACGCUCAACGUAUGGGCUGCCGGGAAUACUGCAUGACUAGGAAGUGGGAGAGGUAGACGGUACUCGAUAGGAAGGGGUAAAAUCCUUUGAUCUAUUGAUGACCACCUGUGGCGAAGGCGGUCUACCAGAACACGUUCGACGGUGAGGGAUGAAAGCUGGGGGAGCAAACCGGAUUAGAUACCCGGGUAGUCCCAGCUGUAAACUAUGCAAACUCAGUGAUGCAUUGGCUUGUGGCCAAUGCAGUGCUGCAGGGAAGCCGUUAAGUUUGCCGCCUGGGAAGUACGUACGCAAGUAUGAAACUUAAAGGAAUUGGCGGGGGAGCACCACAAGGGGUGAAGCCUGCGGUUCAAUUGGAGUCAACGCCGGA